CUUUAACCCAGGAAUGCACCUCUUUUGUGGAUGAUUAUACCGGUUUGGCGCUGCAUUGGUAUCGACAAUUUUGGCAAAUGCAUAUUUCUCCCAACUUGGAAUGGGACCAGAUUUUUCUUCCAACAAUUUGCCACCUAGAUGAGACUCCAAGCUACGGAGCUGGCCCGUACCUCCGGAUAACUCUACAACCUUUGGAAACAGAGCACACUGACCCACACACUGCCUCCAAAGGAGAUCCUCUAUCCAAUUGAGGAUUAACCCACCUCCAUUAGAACAGCAAAAGGCACAAGGCUCACUACAUUGCACAACCCCCUGCAGCAUCCCAGAACUCUAUAAAAAUCCAUGUACUCAUCAAACCAAUUUGUCAGCU